CGCUGAAGUUAAGCAUACCCACUGAACCUGCGGAAGGAUCAUU
rnacentral:rRNA from 1 species